rnacentral:tRNA from 1 species
ACCAUAGCUCAGUCGGUAGAGCAGAGGACUGAAAAUCCUUGUGUCACUGGUUCGAUUCCAGUUGGUGCC